UUUAUUCAUUAAGAUAUGAAAAGGAUUGAGCAACAGGCACAGCCUAUAAAAGCUCUCUCCAUAUUACAUGUACAAGGUAUAAUUCAAUCACAACAACUGUAUUUAAGGUCUAUGUACCCUUCUGAAGCCAUCUUUGCACGAACCCUUCAAACCUCAAUUGUGUCAAAACCACAGAUACAAUGAACAACAGAGACAGGCCACCCUGUACAUAUUCCAAGGGGAAACCCGAUACAAGGCAUGACCCUUCCACUGUUCCACUGCACCUAAUAGAAAAAGAGGACCCUGUGGCAAACAAAUCAAGACCUCCAUAGAAAAUCCACAGCCUUUAUCCUUGUACUCUCAUAUUUGGCAAUUUGAUGACUGAUAGAUAUAGGAUUAUUGCAUGCAUGCUAGCAUUGAUUUCCUUAAAACAAGUUUAUAAAUGUAGUUAUUGGUUAAGACAAGUAUAAAUAUGGCCAAAAUCAAGUACACCUUUAAGGGUGCGUUCGACUUUAG
rnacentral:lncRNA from 1 species